rnacentral:rRNA from 1 species
UUUGUCCUACGGGGCGCAGCAGUGGGGAAUAUUGCACAAUGGGGGGAACCCUGAUGCAGCGACGCCGCGUGGGUGAAGGAGUAUUUCGGUAUGUAAAGCCCUAUCAGCAGGGAAGAACAAUGACGGUACCUGACUAAGAAGCACCGGCUAAAUACGUGCCAGCAGCCGCGGUAAUACGUAUGGUGCAAGCGUUAUCCGGAUUUACUGGGUGUAAAGGGAGCGUAGACGGCGAUGCAAGUCUGAAGUGAAAGGCGGGGGCCCAACCCCCGGACUGCUUUGGAAACUGUAUGGCUGGAGUGCAGGAG